ACUGGUGAGGGGCUGUGAGAGGCAAAAAGACCUUGACUCUCUAGAAGCACUGCUCAGCAAUAACCAAAAUAUCUCUCCAUUAUCAACUCUCUUUCCAGCACAAAUCCAAAACACAGCACUAGAGCAGCUACUAUGAAGGAAGUUAACUCUUUUCCAGCCAAAACCGUUAUGAAUAUACGGAGAGAAUUCUUACCAUUUGGUACUAUGACUCUACCGCUCAAAAGUAGCCAGAAAAGAGCACACGAUAUUCAUCUAUUGAGACAGAGUUGGGCAGAUGUGGUCAAGAUCUUGCAUACUUGAGUGGUUCUUUUGGGUACCUCUUCACCAGAGAGAUAAUCAACAGUUGGAAAGACUUCAGAAGGUGUGUGACAUGGACAUCAGUCUUAAAUGAACUAGAUAUAUAAUGCUUGUCGUGAACAUUAAAAAAAAAAAAUACAGUAUUGGUACUGAAAACAGUGAAAAUAUCUUAACCAUGUGAAAAGAAAUUAAAACUAAAUAAAUUGAUA